AGUCCACGGGAUGUACCAGCCGUGCGAGGCUCUCGGGAUAGAGCCUAUCCGCAGCUCCACAAACGCCCUAGCCGCACCUAUAAAAGGCCCCCGAGUCCCCUCGUUCCAUUCAGCCGGCCCGCACCACCUCUUGCCGCUCGUAGCCGCCGUUGUUGCCACUUGGAUCUCGCCGGAGCCGAAGCCCUCCGUCGACGAUUCCGACGCCGGACGCACCGGAGCAGGCCCCUCGACGACCUGCGCCGCCGGAGUUCGCCAGAGGACAGGAGCUCCGCCCGCUCCCUCCGCUCGUCGCCGCAGACCGCCGCCACCACCGUUCGGCUGCACCUGUCGAGUCGUACCCGCCCGACCACCUCGCCCACGCCGGAGACCGCCGGAGCUGCCGCCCCGCUCGCUCAACACCCCUACCUCCCGACUCUUGCCGCUGCCUCUCUCGUUCGUCGUCAGGUAGAUUAGAUUAGGUGUUUUUAGAUUAGACUAGUUUACUGCCCUUGCCACGGAGCAACGAAACACAUUGUUAUUAAAUAAUUGUUUUAAUUUAAAAGUGUCUUUCAAACAUGACAUCAUGUGAUUUUGAUAUCUAUAAUAACAAAUUCAUUCUCUA